CGGAAAGGUCAUUUGAUUAUGCAAACACAACACGCACUCUCUACUUUGUGUACCGACGUUAGGUCAACCCCUCUCAAGUGUGUGGCCUACUAACCUACACACCAUUGACCAUCCACUGAUCAAACCAAACUCUGAAGCUUUGACUGCCGUUAACCGGCGGUUUUAACCAAUAACAACUCUCAACAACGGAUAUCUUGGCUCUCCCAACGAUAAACAACGAAAUGCGAUACGUAGUGUGAAUUGCAGAAUUCCGUGAACCAUCGAAUCUUUGAACGCAUAUUGCGCUCGACUCCUCGGAGAAGAGCAUGUCUGCCUCAGCGUCGGUUUACACCCCACCCUCACCCCUCCUCCCUACCAGGAGGCGCCUAUCGUGCUUGCUCAAGCCGAUAGCAGGGGUGGAUCUGGCUCUCCCAAUUGGAUUCACCUCCGAUUGGGUUGGCUGAAGCACAGAGGCUUAAACUGGGACCCGAUUCGGGCUCAACUGGAUAGGUAGCAACACCCUCGGGUGCCUACACGAAGUUGUGUCUGAGGACCUGGUUAGGAGCCAAGCAGGAAACGUGUUUCUAACACGUACUCUGUAUUCUGACCUGAGCUCAGGCAAGGCUACCCCGCUGAAACUUAAG
rnacentral:rRNA from 1 species